CUCCAACCCUGUGGCCCCAGAGAUCCGGGCCCCAUAUGUUGAAGUGACAGGGGAUCAAAUUAUUCUCCUUGACCCACCACAAGUGCACAUUGAGGAUGCAGCCGGGACCCAAGUCGACCCAGGAGAAGGCCCAAGCCAACAGCCACAUGAUGAUGAUGAUGACUAUGACGAU